UACAGAGGGGGCAAGCGUUGUUCGGAAUUACUGGGCGUAAAGGGCGGCGUAGGCGGCCCGCUAAGUCGAACGUGAAAUCCCCGAGCUCAACUCGGGAACUGCGUCCGAUACUGGCGGGCUUGAAUCCGGGAGAGGGAUGCGGAAUUCCAAGGUGUAGCGGUGAAAUGCGUAGAUAUCUGGAGGAACACCGGUGGCGAAGGCGGCAUCCUGGACCGGCAUUGACGCUGAGGCGCGAAAGCUAGGGGAGCAAACGGGG
rnacentral:rRNA from 1 species